AUCUGCCCUCAUGGAGCUUGACUGGGUUCACAUCCUGGAGCAGCCUUAGAGAAUGGAGAGAUCUCUACAGAAAUAGUUAUCUAUUUUGUCAGUCACUGAUACUUCUAUUCUCCAAAAUCCUUGGAUGCAAAAUAUCCCUGGCCCUCAUUAUUUCUGCUCUUUCUCAUCUUCAUCUAUCAACAGUAUAUUUCAGAAAUAAGCGGCUCUUCCAGAACACAGGUAGGAGCACCCUAGGCAGGUCAAGGGAGAUGCUUCUUCCCCUCUACUCUGCUCUUGUGAAACCCCACCUGGAGUGCUGCAUCAGCUCUCAGGCCCCCAAAAUAAGAUGGAUGUGGAUCUGUUGGAAUGGGUCCAUAGAAGGGCCAUGAAAAUGAUCAAAAGCCUGGGCUGCCUCUCCUGUGAGGACAGGCUGGGAAAAGAAGGCUCCAGGGAGAUCUUACAACUCCUUCCAGUACCUGAAGGU